rnacentral:rRNA from 1 species
GGUAAUACGUAGGGGGCAAGCGUUGUCCGGAUUCACUGGGGGUAAAGGGUGCUCAGGCGGACUUGUAAGUCAGAGGUGAAACUCCGAAGCUUAACUUCGGAACUGCCUUUGAUACUGCAAGUCUCGAGUACGGGAGAGGGUAAUGGAAUAACAGGUGUAGCAGUGAAAUGCGUAGAUAUCUGUUAGAACACCAAUGGCGAAGGCAGUUGCCUGGCCCGUUACUGACGCUAAAGCACGAAAGUGUGGGUAGCAAACAGGAUUAGAUACCCUGGUAGUCCACACCCUAAACGAUGAGAACUAGUUGUUGGCCCUUUUAAGGGUCAGUGACUUAGCUAACGCAUUAAGUUCUCCACCUGGAAAGUACGAUC